CUUCAGUCGAGUAUGAGGUGGUAUCUUCCAUAUGACAUAUGAGUUUAGUCUAUUUAAGUUUUCAAUUCCAACCAAUAUGUUUUCUUAAGUUGUUAUUUAUUUUGAGCUAAUGGAGCAAACCAUAUAUGGAUACUCUACUUUAGAUGGUUUUCAACUAAUGCAUUGAUUAGAUGGCAUUUAUCAUCGCGUUCUACGUCACUAGAGAUCUGAAAAUGAACGAAUACUCUUAAGUAAUUAUAUACGCCAUCAUAUUCUGCUGCAGCUUCCUCAUCUCCGAUGUUCUCCAGGAGAUAAAGUGGAACAGCCGCCGCCUGAAGUCACUCCUCACCAUCGGAGCAAUACUCUGGGUGAUCGCCGGAGCCGCCGUCUUCGUACUCCCGAGCCAGAUGCACAACCUUAUAUACCCUCUCGCCGUGGUCAUCGGAGCUGCUAACACUCUUGUCAUGCUGACCACAAUUGGGCUAGAGAGCGCGCUGGUGGGAGACGACCUGAACGGCUGCACCUUCGUCUACGGCUCGCUGAGCUUCUUGGACAAGAUUCAUCUGGAAUCGCCCUGUUCGUCCUCGAAUCCUACGAAGCUGCGGCGAGACGACGCAUUGUACACGAUGAGAACAGGUUCGUUACAGGUCUGAUCCCCUCGUGCUUCGCCGUCUUCGUGCUGCUAGUCCCGCUGCUGCUGCCGCCGCUGCACUGGAAGCUCCACUCCUCGUCUGAAGCAUAGCACGGUGUGCUUUUCUUAUAGGAAAAAUCUUACUCUUAGAACCUCUUCAGUUCGGUCUGAAGAAGGUAAGCUGUCAGCUUACAGCGUGAUAGUGUCUAGUAGCCUCAGAAUUCUGUCCCGAAUCUAAAAGCAUUGUAGGCUGGGUAUAGACAUGUUUCUUGGACAAGCUUUUUUUUAUUAUUUAAAAUCAGCACCAGACAUUGCUAUGUGCUUUCUGCAGUUAUAUAUGCAGGAAGUAUUAUUAUAUAAAAACAUGGUGGAAGUAUGAAGAAAAAAAAAAGAUGGACUUGAAUUGCUCCACCAAAAAUUCCUGAAUAUGAAUAAGAUUACAUAAAUAUGCUUACAA